ensembl:scaRNA
GGCCUCUCUCCCGUGAGGCUGUGGGGGGUCUCUUUUCUCCUCAGCUGGGGCUGGAGGCCAAGAUCAGCCUUUGAGGAUCAUUGUCGGGGCUGCCACAAGCGGGCAGCCUUGUUUUCCUACCUCAGACAAGU